rnacentral:rRNA from 1 species
ACGGGAGGCAGCAGUGGGGAAUAUUGCACAAUGGGGGAAACCCUGAUGCAGCAACGCCGCGUGAGUGAUGACGGUCUUCGGAUUGUAAAGCUCUGUCUUCAGGGACGAUAAUGACGGUACCUGAGGAGGAAGCCACGGCUAACUACGUGCCAGCAGCCGCGGUAAUACGUAGGUGGCAAGCGUUGUCCGGAUUUACUGGGCGUAAAGGGAGCGUAGGCGGACUUUUAAGUGGGAUGUGAAAUACCCGGGCUUAACCUGGGUGCUGCAUUCCAAACUGGGAGUCUAGAGUGCAGGAGGGGAAAGUGGAAUUCCUAGUGUAGCGGUGAAAUGCGUAGAGAUUAGGAAGAACACCGGUGGCGAAGGCGACUUUCUGGACUGUAACUGACGCUGAGGCUCGAAAGCGUGGGGAGCGAACAGGAUUAGAUACCCUGGUA